UACGUAGGCAGCAAGCGUUGUUCGGAAUUACUGGGCGUAAAGAGUGUGUAGGCGGUGCUCUAAGUUCGGUGUGAAAUCUCCCGGCUUAACUGGGAGGGUGCGCCGGAAACUGGAGUGCUCGAGCGUGGGAGAGGAAAGCGGAAUUCCUGGUGUAGCGGUGAAAUGCGUAGAUAUCAGGAGGAACACCUGCGGUGUAGACGGCUUUCUGGACCAUAGCUGACGCUGAGACACGAAAGCGUGGGUAGCAAACAGG
rnacentral:rRNA from 1 species